rnacentral:tRNA from 1 species
GGAACAUAGCUCAGUUGGUAGAGUGCUUGCCACACAUGCACAAGGCCCUGGGUUCCAUCCCCAGCACCA